rnacentral:rRNA from 1 species
CAGCAGCCACGGUAAUACGGAGGGGGCUAGCGUUGUUCGGAAUUACUGGGCGUAAAGCGCACGUAGGCGGCUUGGUAAGUUAGAGGUGAAAGCCCGGAGCUCAACUCCGGAAUUGCCUUUAAGAUUGCCGAGCUAGUAGGUGAGAGAGGUAAGUGGAAUUCCGAGUGUAGAGGUGAAAUUCGUAGAUAUUCGGAAGAACACCAGUGGCGAAGGCGGCUUACUGGCCCAUUCUAGACGCUGCGGUGCGAAAGCGUGGGGAGCAAACAGGAUUAGAUACCCCAGUAGUCCCUGUCUCUUAUAC